rnacentral:rRNA from 1 species
AUUCCAGCUCCAAUAGCGUAUAUUAAAGUUGUUGCAGUUAAAAAGCUCGUAGUUGGAUUUCUGGUGGGGCUGUCGGCCUGGCUCCGAAAGGGGUCGUGGUUAGUACACGCCUGGCCAUCCUCGGGGGAAGCUUUGCUGGCAUUAAGUUGUCGGCGGAGUGACGCUCGUCGUUUACUGUGAACAAAUUAGAGUGUUCAAAGCAGGCUUAGGCCGUUGAAUACAUUAGCAUGGAAUAAUGAGAUAGGACUUUGGUGGUCUAUUUUGUUGGUUUGCACGCCGAAGUAAUGAUUAAUAGGGGCGGUUGGGGGUAUUCGUAUUCAAUUGUCAGAGGUGAAAUUCUUGGAUUUAUGAAAGACGAACUACUGCGAAAGCAUUUGCCAAGGAUGUUUUCAUCA